UACGUAGGGGGCUAGCGUUGUCCGGAAUCAUUGGGCGUAAAGAGCGUGUAGGCGGCCCGGUAAGUCCGUUGUAAAAGUCAAAGGCUCAACCUUUGAAUGUCAGUGGAUACUGCCGGGCUAGAGUCCGGAAGAGGCGAGUGGAACUCCUGGUGUAGCGGUGGAAUGCGCAGAUAUCAGGAAGAACACCAACGGCGAAGGCAGCUCGCUGGGACGGUACUGACGCUGAGACGCGAAAGCGUGGGGAGCGAACAGG
rnacentral:rRNA from 1 species